rnacentral:rRNA from 1 species
GCAUGGUUGUCGUCAGCUCGUGUCGUGAGAUGUUGGGUUAAGUCCGUAACGAGCGCAACCUUGUCCUUAGUUACCAGCACGUUAUGGUGGGCACUCUAAGGAGACUGCCGGUGACAAACCGGAGGAAGGUGGGGAUGACGUCAAGUCAUCAUGGCCCUUACGGCCUGGGCUACACACGUGCUACAAUGGUCGGUACAAAAGGGUUGCCAAGCCGCGAGGUGGAGCUAAUCCCAUAAAACCGAUCGUAGUCCGGAUCGCAGUCUGCAACUCGAUUGCGUGAAGUCGGAAUCGCUAGUAAUCGUGAAUCAGAAUGUCACGGUGAAUACGUUCCCGGGCCUU